rnacentral:lncRNA from 1 species
CUCUAAUGGGCUCCUGAUCCAGCCAACCCACAGGCUGUAAGAUCGGAGGAUUGGGGAUGUAAGCCCAAUAGGCCACACCCUCUAAGCUGGGGGGAGUAGAAAUUAAAGCCAAAAUGGCAAGAAAGUUCAUGCUAGCUGUUAGGGGUUUUCCUUGCUGUUUCAGCAAGGUUUUUGCUUCUUUCAUCAGGUGCUUGAUCUUCAUCCAAGUGAUUCUUCUUGUCUGCGAAGACGUCAUAGAUUGCCCCAUGUUUUCCUGUGAUUACUUACACUUAACCAGUGAUCCUUUACUGGCGGGACUGCAGUUCCCUGGUAAGAGCCGUACCUGAUUUCUGAGGAGAAAGAAAAGAAAGAUUACCUGUCCUUCAAGUCCCUGUUCUGG